AUGGCAUCUGUCCCACAGACUCAGAACUGUGCUGCAUACUAUCCUCCUAGCCAAAUUGCGCAACUAAGACCAAGUCCUCGCUGGACUGCUCAGGGCACCAGACCUCAUCCAUUCCAAAAUAUGCCUGGUGCUACCCGCCCAGCUGCUCCUAGACCACCGUUUAGUACUAUGAGACCAGCUUCUUCACAGGUUCCACGAGUCAUGUCAACACAGCGUGUUGCUAGCACAUCAACACAGACAGUGUUGGGUCCAUGUCCUGCAGCUACAGCUGCUGAAGCUACUCCUGCUGUCCGCCCCGUUCCACAGUAUAAAUACGCUGUGGGAGUCGCAAUCCUCAGCAACAUCUUCAUGCACAGCCACAAGUUACAGUGCCACAGCCUGCUGUUCAUGUCCAAGGUCAGGAAGCUUUGACUGCUUCCAUGUUGGCAUCUGCCCCUCCUCAAGAGCAAAAGCAAAUGUUGGGUGAACGACCGUUUCGUCUUAUUCAAGCCAUGCACCCUACUCUUGCUGGUAAAUCCCUGGCAUGUUGUUGGAGACUGAUAAUUCAGAACUUCUUCAUGUGCUUGAGUCUCCAGAGUCUCUGUUCUAAGGCUGAUGAAGCUAUAGCUGUACCACAGGCCCACCAAGCUAAAGAGGCUGCCCAGAAAGCUGUUAACAGUGCCACCUGUGUUCCAGCUGUGUAA